AUGUAAGCGACUUUUCACUUUUUAGAUUCAUUCAAUAAAUGAUGUAUAUGAUAUAUAAUAUGGAUCACAUACAUUAUUUGUUGAAAGAACUUAAAAAAUGAAAAGUCGCUUACAU
rfam:Medicago truncatula strain A17 chromosome 6, whole genome shotgun sequence.